UAAACAAAACCUAAUUUAUAGGGUUACAGUGAUAGUGUAAUUAAGUGGUAUUCACUUGUUUAA
rnacentral:tRNA from 1 species